UUCAUUUUUCUUAAAUUGUAUUUCUCAAUUGCCACUCAAGGAUCUUGGAAGAUGUAUUUAAUCUCAACAUCAAAUUAGAGUUCUAGGAGACCAAGGCAAUUGAAUAUGUCAUUGGACAAAACUCCACUUCAUAUCCUUUGGUGUGUAAAUGAUUCAUUCCUUGAAGAAGAAAGGUUCUGGUUAAUUUGCGGCUUCGUUAUGAUUUGCUGCUUUUUUGUGAUAAGGAUGAGGGGAACUGCCUUUAGAAAAACUGGUUCCGUGGUAGGAUCAUGGUAGGAUGACCUCUGGCCUCUCUCCCUGGGCUCUCUGCUGUAGCUUUCUUCCUCUCUAAGGCUUAUUCCUGAAGCUUCACUAGAGACAGGUAAAAUACAGUUCCUGCCCUCCGGAAGUUUCCAAAUCAGCUGUGGAUAUAGAUUACUGUAGGAGAAUCAUAAAAUCACAGGAGUACAAAUAAAAUGCAGUUUCAGAGAAAGUACACAUUACUUUUUGCCUCAGCUUGUACUGUAACAUUAGCCUGUGUCUUUAUCAGCCUAGAGCUUUACUUUGUUUUAUUAUUUUAAAAAAGAAAAUCGUUCUGCUGGACUGGAAAUACCUUGACGCCAGAGGCCAUGUUAUUUUUAUCUUUUGAUCUCCUCUCUAUUCUAGUACAUUCAGGCUCCACACAGGACACAGCACACAUAAUACUGCCUGGUUUCCCCACUGCGAGCCCUUCGAGAACAAUGUCAUGUUGAUCGAUGGCAGUGACUCACACCAGAUCUUUCCAUGCCUCCUCUGCAAGGACUCAAGAGAGUCGAGAGCAAAACCGUGCCAUAGUUCCAUAAGGAGGGCAAAGAGCUUUAUCCACGCUGAGGAACAGGCGGAUCAUGCGGCUACAGCACUGGUCUUUACCUUUUAACUGCUUGAUUCGAAACAUUCCAGCCAGGAACAGUGGCUCACACCUGUAAUCCCAGCACUUUGUGGGGCCAAGGCAGGUGGAUUGCUCGAGCUCAGGAGUUCGAAACCAGCCUGGGCAACCUGGCAAAACCUCAUCUCUACAAAAAAAUACAAAAAUUAGCCAGGCCUGGUGUGUGUGCCUGUGGUUCCAGCCACUCGGCAGGCUGCGGCCAGAGGAUCACUUGAGCCCAGGAAGUGGAGGCUGCAGUGAGCUGAGAUCGUGCCGCCACACUCCAGCCUGGGUGACAGAGCCAGACAUUGUCUCUAAAAAAAAAAAAAAAAGAAAAGAAAAGAAAGAAAAAAGAGAAAUAGUCCAAGACUAGGGAGAAAACCUUCUUUGGGGUCAGUGUGAACCAUUCUUUCAUUUGUUCAGCAAAUGCUUACUGAGGAGCUACUGUGUCCCUGAAAUUGCCUCCACCUCCAAGAAGACAGUGGUGAGCAAGUCAGACAAUACCUCUAAUCUCAUGGUAUUUAUAAGUAAAUGGGCCGUUAAAAUUACCAGAUCAGAAGUGCUGUGUUCAGCAAAUAGAGGCUCAUGGGAAACUCCUAAGAAGGGCUUCUGAGCUGGACUUGGGGGUCAGGAAAGGCAGAAUGAGGGGGCUGACUCAUCCAGACUGGGGCGGGGUUGCCGGGGGUGCCUCCCACUUACUAUCUGUCUCCUUCUAGACUGACUUCUCUGUCAUCAUGAAUACACCCCUUUAAGACAUACAUUUAAGAGAAAAUAAGAGGAUGCCUUA
rnacentral:lncRNA from 1 species